rnacentral:rRNA from 1 species
GGAAGGAUCAUUAUUGAAUUAAUGUAGAGUUUGGUUGUAGCUGGCUCCUAAUUAAACUUGGGGGCAUGUGCACACCUUUCUCUUUCAUCCCAUACACACCUGUGCACCUGUGAGACAGAUGUUUUGUGGGGGGGAAGGAACUUUAUUGGACCUUCUACUCCCCCUUGACUUCUGUCUACUUAAUUCAUAUAAACUCAAUUUAUUUUAAAACGGAUGUAAUGGAUGUAACACAUCUAAUACUAAGUUUCAACAACGGAUCUCUUGGCUCUCGCAUCGAUGAAGAACGCAGCGAAAUGCGAUAAGUAAUGUGAAUUGCAGAAUUCAGUGAAUCAUCGAAUCUUUGAACGCACCUUGCGCUCCUUGGUAUUCCUUGGAGCAUGCCUGUUUGAGUAUCAUGAAAUCUUCAAAGUCAAACCUUUUGUUAAUUCAAUUGGUUCUGCUUUGGUAUUGGAGGAUUAUUGCAGCUUCACACCUGCUCCUCUUUGUGCAUUAGCUGGAUCUCAGUGUUAUGCUUGGUUCCACUCAGCGUGAUAAGUUAUCUAUCGCUGAGGACACCCUGUUAAAAAGGGGUGGCCAAGGUAAAUGCAGAUGAACCGCUUCUAAUAGUCCAUUGACUUGGACAAUAUCUAAUUUAUGAUCUGAUCUCAAAUCAGGUA